AGCCCAAAGAUUACCCUCUUCAGCAGUACCGUGCGUUUGCUAGCUUGAAAUUAUUACAACAGCAUUUGUUCAUUUGCUUGGUUGGAGAGGAUCUGUUUUUGCAGGAAAUUUGUAUUUCAAAGCAGAUUUCUACGUUCAUCAUUAUUAUCAUUAUUGGUGGUUUACAAGAUUUCUCCUUCCCCCCCACUCCUCCCGCCCCCAUUUGGGGAAGUGGGAACAAAUGAAAUAAACCCAUCAUAAAAAAUAAUUUUGUCCAGGUGGAACAUAAAUCAGCCAAAAAAAUAUUAUUCUACGUGGCAAAUAAAAAGCAUAUGCUGUAUUAUUUAAAGCACGGCCUCCAUAUUCACAUACAAAAUUAAUGCUACAGUGGGAGGUAAAACUGAUGGAGGCAGACAAUGAAAAUAUUAGGAGCAAAGCACGAUGCCAAGAACAAUUCAAGCAGAGCCACUUGCAGGGUCAUGGCCAUAUUCCAUUUCAAAUGGGCAUGGAAAUACACUGUGGGUUAUUCUUCUCCAGAGAUGCACAGAUAAUAAGCACCUGCUCCCCGUGUCUACCCUUCCCUUUUAACUGUUGAUUUAUUGAAUGUUUCUGAAAGCUGCGGCCAGGCUCGUGAGGGAGGCAGACCGUGGUGCCUGCGGGAAGAACUGGGAGCGGACAGAAGCACUCUGGCAGACACCCCACCAAUAGAUACCAUGGGGUGCAGAGCCGAACGGGGCCAGGAACAAAAGCUGCCUUUUGUUUUGGAUCUAGACCAAACUGUGGUUUUGGAGGGCACGCAUACAGAGUUCAGCGGUCUACGGCACAAAAAGUGAUGUCUGCAAUACCUAGGCAUUCGGCUUCCCACAGCAUCGAGGGAAGUCCCGGAAUACCUACCUAUCAGAGGCCAGGUUAUUUACUUCCUCAAGUACCAGACUUCAACCACAGGAGCAGUGCAAGGCAAGGCAGAAGAUCAUCUUCUCCCACACGGAUUUCCCCAUCAAGGUCAGAAUUUGUCCUUACUAAAUGCGCUCCUAGGAUGAAGGGAGGGAACCCACGAACACAUAGCAUCCAGCAUGACUUGUUUUCCAUCUGGCAGAUCAACCAGCAGAAACCAGUCUGGGACCAGGUUCAGGGGACUGCCCUUCGCUUGCAGUCGGUUUCAGAGCUGCCUCAGUGAUGGGCUAAUGAGGUUCACCCACUGCCAGGCACCUCCCUGCGACUGAGAGCCACUGUACUGCAAAGCAAAGAGAACAACUUUGAUACUCUCUGGAGGUGAGACGGCAAGUGCAGCUGCGAGGCUCAAAAAGAAAGCACCAGAAAGCAGAGUACGAGCUACUGCUUGUCAUUUAGCAGAGGCAAACGUGAGCACAACCAAAACAACAGAGUGAUCACAACAGCGUUAUCCGAUUAGCAGCACCUGCAACCAACAGAAACAGAUCUUCAAAUGGAGCUGUCAGCCGCCGUUGCAACACGAAGUGUGCUAUAACACACUGAGUGGGAAUAAGGAGCAGUGGUGUAAGAGGUGCAAUUGCAAGAGCACUGAAGGGACACUUGGCAGCGCUUGCGUGCCUGAAAUUAGAUCUGCCCAUCUCGUGCAUGGGUGCGUGGGGGGUGCCAGGUGGGAUUACAAUGAGGCUCUGCUUUCCUGUAAGGCAAAAAAUGUAUUCAAGUUCAGCCAAGAUAUAUGGGUUUAUAUACAAUGAUAUUAUUACUGUUGUUAUUGUGAUACAUGGCAUAAUAACUGCCUUUUACACACAUACCCAGACACGUGUACCGCCAUGCACUUAUUUUCUUUGUUACGAAAAAUAUUCAGCAUAUUGAAAUGUCACCAAAGUAUAGUUUAUCUGAUCGUAUUUCUUCCAUGAAGGGUAAGUGGUAAAAAUAAAGAGUAUUGAUAAAUC
rnacentral:lncRNA from 7 species